rnacentral:rRNA from 1 species
GCCCAGACCACCAGCUAAGGUCCCAAAAUAUAUGUUAAGUGGAAAAGGAUGUGGCGUUGCCCAGACAACUAGGAUGUUGGCUUAGAAGCAGCCAUCAUUUAAAGAGUGCGUAAUAGCUCACUAGUCGAGUGACACUGCGCCGAAAAUGUACCGGGGCUAAACAUAUUACCGAAGCUGUGGAUUGUCCUUUGGACAAUGGUAGGAGAGCGUUCUAAGGGCGUUGAAGCAUGAUCGUAAGGACAUGUGGAGCGCUUAGAAGUGAGAAUGCCGGUGUGAGUAGCGAAAGACGGGUGAGAAUCCCGUCCACCGAUUGACUAAGGUUUCCAGAGGAAGGCUCGUCCGCUCUGGGUUAGUCGGGUCCUAAGCUGAGGCCGACAGGCGUAGGCGAUGGAUAACAGGUUGAUAUUCCUGUACCACCUAUAAUCGUUUUAAUCGAUGGGGGGACGCAGUAGGAUAGGCGAAGCGUGCGAUUGGAUUGCACGUCUAAGCAGUAAGGCUGAGUAUUAGGCAAAUCCGGUACUCGUUAAGGCUGAGCUGUGAUGGGGAGAAGACAUUGUGUCUUCGAGUCGUUGAUUUCACACUGCCGAGAAAAGCCUCUAGAUAGAAAAUAGGUGCCCGUACCGCAAACCGACACAGGUAGUCAAGAUGAGAAUUCUAAGGUGAGCGAGCGAACUCUCGUUAAGGAACUCGGCAAAAUGACCCCGUAACUUCGGGAGAAGGGGUGCUCUUUAGGGUUAACGCCCAGAAGAGCCGCAGUGAAUAGGCCCAAGCGACUGUUUAUCAAAAACACAGGUCUCUGCUAAACCGUAAGGUGAUGUAUAG